GUUCUUGCUUCGGCAGAACAUAUACCAAAAUUGGAAUGAUACAGAGAUGAUUAGCAUUUCCCCUGCGCAAGGAUGACACGCAAAAUUUGAAUCACUGAUCCAGCAACACUUCUUU